rnacentral:misc_RNA from 1 species
GAAAUGCGAUAAGUAGUGUGAAUUGCAGAAUUCAGUGAAUCAUCGAAUCUUUGAACGCACAUUGCGCCCUUUGGUAUUCCUUAGGGCAUGCCUGUUCGAGCAUCAUCUAAACCUUCAAGCCCUGCUUGGUGUUGGGUGCCUGUCCCGCCUCCGCGCGCGGACUCACCUCAAAUCCAUUGGCGGCCCCCGCGUCGGCCACGAGCGCAGCAGAAACGCGAACUCGUGAGCCCGUCCGGGCGGCUCCCAGAAGCUACACCCACCCAGUUUGACCUCGGAUCAGGUAGGGAUACCCGCUGAACUUAAGC